rnacentral:rRNA from 1 species
UGCGCAGGCGGUUUGAUAAGCCAGAUGUGAAAUCCCCGAGCUCAACUUGGGAACUGCGUUUGGAACUGUCAGACUAGAGUGCGUCAGAGGGGGGUGGAAUUCCGCGUGUAGCAGUGAAAUGCGUAGAGAUGCGGAGGAACACCGAUGGCGAAGGCAGCCCCCUGGGAUGACACUGACGCUCAUGCACGAAAGCGUGGGGAGCAAACAGGAUUAGAUACCCCUGUA